AUCCCCCUGAGCGCGGGAUUGGGAGCUAUCCAGGGCAAGUCCCGAAGUGUACGGAGGUCGGACUCCUAAGAAGGUAUAAGUAGUAACGCACAAUGACUGCGCAAGGUACGCUCACUAUUGGCAACUCCCUCCCGACUGCUUUACUGUUAGUACACUCCCCACUCACCGGAAAACUAACUUGACCGUCGGAGCGCCCUCGGGGACUACCUCGGGGACCCUGUUAGUUCACUCUCUCGUUUUUCUUUCAGGCUUAGGACGCGCUCUUUCCAUCAGCUCGCCGAGCUCAUCAGGUCAGCUCGGUCCGAGGAAGUUCCGUGCUUCUUCAGUUGGCGCCGUCUGUGGGAACCGAAGGUACGAGUAUUUGCGUUGAUGGCGAGAACGCGUUCCAAGCGAACCGUGGAUAACACUGACCCCGGAGCCGGUGAGGGGUCCCGGCGAAUGGAGAUCGAGACGGCCCGAGGCGCCGGGGGCUCGGCCCUUUCAGGGGAACGAAGACAGCAGAUCUAUCAGUUUGUAACCGAGAACCUCCCCAUGCUGGAAGACAUAAUCCGGCAGGCGAAGGAGGGGGGUGAGGCCGGGGGUGCGCAGACCUCUAAGGCGAAGGGGAAGGAGAGGGAGUCGCUCCCCAUUCCCUCGGAGGACGAGUCACGGGACCAGCCCCCCAGGAGGAAACGACCGCGGACUCCUCCCAGGCCGCGGGCCUCGGUGGUCGGGGACAGUGAGAGAUAUUCUCGCGACCGGUCUGCUGGGGGCCGACCGAGGAAUCCCUCCUCGUGGAAGCUUGCGCGGAACAAGCCGGAGCGCUCCCCCGCCCGAUCUAUCAAGAGCCGGCCGCGGGACCCUCCCCAAUGGCAGCCCGUCCAGGACGAGCUCGAGCAGAUCCUGCGUCCGCAACUGUACAAGGACAACUACGCAGCCUCGCCCUUCACCCGAGAGAUAGAGGACUACCCGUUACCUCGGAGGUUUAAAAUCCCGAACAUCGAACUGUACGAUGGUUCGACUGAUCCGGAAGACCACCUUUCGGUCUUCCUGACGCACAUGCGUCUACAAACCGCCGCGGAUGCACUCCGUUGCAAGACCUUCCCCAUGUUUCUGAAGGGUAAGGCCCGGCUCUGGUUCCAGGGCCUGGCACCAGGGUCUAUCCGGAGUUUCACCGAGCUGGCCAGACAGUUCGCCGCCCAGUUCGUCUCCUCGAAGACUUACUCGAAAAACGCGGCUCACCUGAUGGCCAUCAAGCAGAAGCCGGACGAGUCCCUGAAGAAUUUCAUGACUCGCUUCAACACAGAGAGCCUGCAGAUCAGGGACAAGGAUGAAAAGGUGGUCAUGACUGCCUUCAUGAACGGGCUAAGGGUAGAGGAACUCUACUACGAGCUUGCUGAACAGCCCCCCAAAAAUCUGGAAGAGCUCUUGACCCGGGCUCACGCCGCCGCCAACGCAGAGGAGGCCGUCCGCCUGAAACGAGAGUCAGAUCGGGAACUCGGGAUCGAAGAGGACGGGGAAACCCCCCUGAAACCAAGGACGGCCAAGCCAGGAAGAACGUCUUCGAUCGCCUCUUUAAGGAUAAAGCCCCCGCUCAACCGCCACUCCCGGAAAAAGGUUAUACACCCCUGACUCGGCCAAGGGCACAGAUCCUGGCUGUGAUGGAGGCAGAGGGUCUAGGAGGACGGCCGCCCAAGCUGGGGACGCCCCGGAAUAAAAGGAACCAGGACCGGUACUGUGCCUUCCACCGUGAUGUAGGGCAUGAUACGGAGGGAUGCUGGGCCUUGCGGAAGGAGAUUGAAGACCUAAUUCAGCGUGAUUUCUUGGGGCGGUUUGUGCAGCCAGGUCGGCCGGGCCAGGAGCGCGGACGUGCCUACCGCAAAGAGAGGGGCGAAGGCUACCGCCGAAACCGUCCUGAGCGGCGUGACGCGGCCCGAGGCCACUCCCCCGACCAGGGCACUCAGAACUUGGCAGGGGUUAUAAACACCAUAGCUGGGGGUCCCACGGGAGGAGACAGCCAUACAGCCCGGAAGAACAGGCGACCUCCCCCAGACGGAGAUGAUUCACUGAAGCGUCUGCGCAUGGACGAGGAGAUCACCUUCGGACCGAGGGACGCGGUUCCCUUGGCAUCCGGAAAUCAUGAGGCCAUCGUAAUAGACGUCGUUACCAAUAAUUAUCGGGUGAAGAAAGUAUACGUCGAUCAGGGAAAUGCAGUGGACAUCCUGUUUUACAGGGUGUUCAAGGAGCUCGGCCUAAAGGACGGACAGCUAACCUCUGUUCGGACACCUCUAGUAGGCUUUACCGGACCGCCCAUCAAUCCGGAGGGGAUGAUCACCCUGAUGGUCACAAUAGGUCAGGCACCCAAAUGCAGGACCAUCCCUGUCAAUUUCGUGGUGGUCAAACAGCCAUCCCCGUACAACAUAUUCCUAGGUCGGCCCGCUUUGAAUGCCCUCCGAGCGAUUCCCUCAUCGCUCCACCUCAGCGUCAAAUUCCCCACCCCGGGAGGAAUUGCCGAGGUGUAUGGAGAUCCGGAGGUGGCCCGAGCUUGUUACCUAACCAUGCUCCGGGGACACGAGAAGGUGGUCGCCCAGACGACCAGCUUGGAGCCUUACAUCCCGGGGGAGGAGGAUCGGCAGCUGGACACUCAGGAUGAGAUCGAGGAGUUCCCAUUGAAGGAGGACAGGCCUGACCAAAUAAUCCGCAUCGGUGCGUCGCUACAACCCAAAGAGAAGGAUGACCUGAAGGCCUUCCUAAGGGAGUACGCCCAGGUUUUCGCUUGGACGGUAGAGGACAUGCUUGGGAUUCCGACUGACCUGGCCGUCCACCACCUCAACAUAGACCCCCGCUCUAAGCCAGUGAAGCAGAAGAAGAGGAACUUCGCUCCAGAGAGAAAUGAGGUGAUCAGGAAGGAGGUCGGAAAGCUGCUGGAAUCCAAAAUCAUCAUGGAGGUCUACUACCCCACCUGACUAGCCAACCCUGUUCUAGUAAAGAAGGAGGACCAGUCCUGGAGGAUGUGCGUUGACUUUACAGAUCUCAAUAAGGCCUGCCCGAAGGAUUGCUUCCCCUCACCGAGGAUCGACAGGUUAGUAGAUGCUACUGUUGGUUUUGACGUUUUGUGUUUUCUGGAUACCUUUAAGGGAUACCACCAGAUAGAGAUGGCCGAGUAGGAUCGGGAAAAGACUUCGUUCAUCACCGAGGAAGGGACCUACUGCUACCGGACGAUGCCAUUCGGGCUAAAGAACGCUGGAGCUACUUACCAGCGCUUGGUCAAGAAAUUAUUUCAGAACCAGAUCGGCAGGAACAUGGAGGUCUACGUGGACGACAUGAUCGUCAAGAGCCGAGCAGGACCACAGCUCGUCCCCGACCUGAGGGAGAUCCUGAACAUCCUCUGAGAAAGCCGGAUGCGGUUGAACCCGAAGAAGUGCACCUUCGGAGUUAGGUCGGGCCGGUUCCUCGGUUUCUUGGUCUCCCGAGAAGGGAUCCGGGCCAACCCCGAAAAACUCUAGCCCAUCAUGGACAUGGCCACUCCACGAAAUGUGAAAGAGAUCCAGCGACUCACGGUAAGGAUGGCCGCCCUGAAUAGGUUCCUCUCACGGUCCGCGGUAAGGGGGCUCCCCUUCUUCCGAAUCCUAAAAGCGCCCAAGGAUUUUCAGUGGACCGAGGAGUGCCAGAAGGCCUUCACCGACCUGAAGGCGUAUCUGGCCGAGCUGCCCACCCUGACAGCCCCGGAGCAGGGAGAAACCUUGUUCCUGUACUUGUCCGCUUGCAACGAGGCCGUCAGCGCGAUUUUGGUGCGGGAAGACGGGGGGGCUCAGAGGCCAAUAUAUUAUGUUAGCCGCGCCUUACAAGGUCCGGAAAUGCGGUAUACGCCGGCAGAGAAGCUGGUCCUCGCCCUGGUACAUGCUGCCCGGAAGCUUCGACCAUACUUCCAGACCCACAGCAUUGUGGUCAGGACCGAUCAGCCCUUGCGACAGAUACUCACAAAACCUGAGGUUUCGGGUAGGAUGACUAAGUGGGCCGUCGAGCUCGCCGAGCACGACAUCGGCUACCAGCCCAGCACCGCUAUCAAAGCCCAGGCCCUAGCGGACUUCCUCGCCGAAGGAGCCAGUCUGUCCACAACUGAGCCGAGCUCCCUGCCCGAGGAGGCCUGGUCGGAAGAGCCUUGGGUACUGUUCGUGGACGGGGCCUCAAGCAAGGAGGGAAGCCGAACUGGCCUGCUACUCACCUCGCCCACAGGGGAAGAGCUGACCUACGCGCUCAGGUUCGACUUCCCGGCAUCCAAUAACGAGGCCGAGUACGAGGCCCUAUUGACAGGGUUGCGGAUAGCCCACCAGAUGGGUGUAACCGCGAUCAAGGUCAGGAGCGAUUCUCAGCUCGUAGUCAACCAAAUCCGCGGGGAGUACGAAACUAAGGAAGACGUCAUGAAGAGAUACUUGGCCAAGGUACGAGAGGCGAGAGCCCUGUUUGACAUUUUCGAGAUCGAGCGGGUGCCGAGGUCACAGAACAAGCGGGCGGACGCCCUGUCAAAAUUGGCAUCCUCCUCGUUUGCCCACAUUUGCAAGGAGGUCCUAGUCGAGGUGGUCAAGCAAAAAAGCGUUGAUCAGGUUCAGGUCCUGGCCAUAGACAGCCCGGCCUCAUGGAUGACCCCCAUCGCAGAUUUUCUCAGAUCGGGAAACCUCCCCGCCAACAAAAUCGAAGUCCGCCGACUCCAUCUCAGAGCUGCUAAGUACGCCUACGUCGAGGGGACCCUCUACAGGAGGUCUUAUUCAUCCCCCUGGCUAAAGUGCGUAACUCCUGAAGAGGGCGAUUACGUCCUCCGUGAAGUCCACGAAGGAUUAUGCGCGGCGCAUGUGGGGUCCCGGGUACUGGCCAAAAAGUGCCUUCUCUUGGGCUACUAUUGGCCCUCGAUUUUCCAAGAUGCGGCGGCUCUGGUUCAGAAAUGCCGAGCCUGUCAGGUGCACGCCCCGCUGCGCCACCAACCCACUCGGGAGAUGGUCCACAUCCACAGUCCUUGGCCCUUUGCCCAGUGGGGAUAGACCUCCUGGGUCCCUUCCCCCGAGCUUCGGGUAGGUACGAACACCUCGUGGUGGCCAUCGACUAUUUCACGAAGUGGAUGGAGGCCGAGCUCCUGGCCACUAUCUCCGGAAGGGCAAUUCAGAAGUUCUUCUGGAAACACAUAAUUUGUCGCUUCGGGAUCCCGCAUGUCCUGAUAUCCGACAACGGGCGACAGUUUGCUGAAAAUCCCUUCAAAAGCUGGUGCGCAGAGCUCGGGAUUAACCAGCACUUCACCUCGGUCGGACACCCCCAGGCCAAUGGUCAGGUGGAAAAUGUUAAACGAACCAUUCUGCAGGGGCUAAAGACUAGACUGGAACUAGCCCAGUCUAACUGGCUAGACGAACUACCCAGCGUCCUCUGGGCUUACCGCACUACACCGAGGACGGCCACCCACGAGACCCCGUUUUCCCUGACUUACUGGGCGGAGGCGGUGGUGCCCGCGGAGGUCGGCCUCCCCUCGCCCCGAACACAAAACUUCGUUGCGACAGCCAACGAGGAAGAUCUGAGGUGCAACUUGGACCUGCUGGAGGCCAAGCGGGAGGAGGCGGCGAUACGAAUGGCUAAGUGCAAAAGCCAGCUCGCCCGUUACCACAACGCGAGGGUACGGAGUACUCAGUACAAGCCUGGAGACCUCGUCCUGAGAAAGAACUCAGUCAGCCGAGUUCAGAGCUCCAACAAGCUAGAUCCAAACUGGGAAGAGCCGUACACGGUCUUAGAGAUAAGUCGGGUUGGGUACUGUAAGCUUGCGAGAUUAGACGGGGUAGAGGUACCCCGCACUUGGCACUUCUCGAAUUUGCGGUUAUUCGUAGGAUAGGUUUGUCCAGGGUAUCUUAUUGUAUUCUUUGGAAUUUUAGUACCAUUUCAUCAUUAAAUAAAUGCUCAGUUUCCUUGUUUUAGAUCCCUUCUCACUAUCAAUUCCGUUUAACCUUUCACCUCUACACUAGCACACUCAGAUCAAGCUAAGUGUCCUAGCGGGGGGCUGGGGGUGAGAAAUCGUAACGGGUGAAAGGCUUUUUCAAGUUUGAGGAAUCGACGCUAGACCCGGGAGGUCGGCAUAAUUACCUUUGAAAAUGUUUGGGCGUUCGACCCAGGAGGUCGGCGACCAGGGGACAAGUCGAAAUAAUGAGUCGACGGAAGGCCUUCAAGGUCUGGGACGUGAUGCUCGACCCAAGGGGUCGGCAGGACCGCCUCUGGAACUUUGCCGCUCGACCCAGGAGGUCGGCGCAACUCAAAAACCUUGGGGCUCGAUGCUCGACCCAAGAGGCCGGCACGCCGUUUCAUUAAAUCGGGUUUGACGUUCGACCCUAGAGGUUGGCGUAGCUUGAAGCCUAGAUGUUUUGUGUUCGGCCUUGGAGGUCGGCGCAUCACUCUGGUUAUUUGGAAUUCGACUGCCAAAUCAGCCUGAUGGCUUGAUGGUUGGGUGUCCCUGACAACUUAGUUGUUAGUUUAAAGGGCGAUAGAUGCUCGAUCCAAGAGGUCGGCAUGCCGCCUUGGAAGAUCUAUUUGGCGCUCGAUCCGGGAGGUCGGUGUUCCUUUUCGGUCACUAGAGUUUGCCGUUAGCAGGGAAUGGAAAGACAAAUCAGACAGUUUCAUUUAAAAACUUCAUCUCAUAUAUACAUUCAGACCCUAUCUAUUACAAGGCCUACCGAGCUAUACAAGGAAAGGGGAACCUAGCUACGCCUUCUUCUUGCUGGCGAUCUGCUCGAGGAGGAAGUUGAAGGUACACCUUAAGCAUGUUGAGAGGUGGGAGCUGAAGGUACACCUUAAGCAUGUUGGGGGGGCGUGUGGAGAAGGAUGUUAAAAAGGAUCUGUGGAGAUCAUGAGUUGCGGGGCAUGGUCACAUCCUUAUAAGAGGAUGGAAAGGGUUUCUGGAGUGACCGCUGCCCUAGGCUACAGGCUCCUUCCCGGAAGCUCUGCCAGGAGUCUCCUCCUCCUCCAGGGGAAGCUCCGCCAGCUCGGCCCCCACGUCGCUCCUUCCCAUCAGGUCCAUCAGGGCAUGCCCCUUGCAGUACCCAUCGAAGAGCCAGUCCAGCUUCCCCUCGGCCGCCGAAUUGUAGUCCUUGAAAUCCACCAAGUUGAAGCCGGGUGGGUUGAGGCUCUUCACCUUGUCCAGGGCACGCGUGGCGCCGACCUGGAGGAUGGGCUGGUUGAGGAGGGCCACGUCCUCGGCGAACUGAUCGGAAGAGAUGAAAUCCCGGACAGCCUUCUUGCGCUCCCGGCUAACAGUGCCGGAGAGCUCAAUGGCGUGCUCCUCCAUCAGCUUCGCCACGCCCUUCUUCUCUUGGUCCAACUCGGACCGGGUGGAGACGAGCUGGACCUGGGACCCCUCCAGCUCCUUCUCAGCCUUGCCCAGCUUGGCCUUAAGGGAGUCUACCUCCUUAAGGGCCUUGGCGAGCUUCUGCUCAGCCUCCCGAUUCUUCUUUUGCAUCUUCUCCAAGUCGGGAGACAACUCGGAGAAAAGCGGGCCACCAGGGCAGCACCGGCGGCGUUGGCCUGAAGAAAUGAGAGUAAGAGUCAGCAUAUUACAAACCCCAUUCAGAGAAAGAACAGGGACCCAAGGGGCCUAAAAGGGAGAGGGCUUACUUGGGUCUGGGCGAUGUAGUACAUGUCCUGGAGCUCGGACGGGCUGGCCAGCUCCAUGCACUUCUUGUCGCGUGGAAGGACUGAGCCCGUGACCAGCUCGCGAGCCACCACGGGAAAUUGGGCUCAGUCAUUGAUGGAGAGCUCCCAAGACAGGCAGAAGUGCCGGGGAUCGUGCAUCGUGGGGGCCUGCCCCGGCUUCAUGGGGGCCACGUGGGGGAAAUGCCACAAGCUCGGGGGGGCGCUCUCCUGGGCGUACUCCUCUGCAGAGCCAACCCCCAAGUGGACAGGGACCCCCGAAGUCAGCUGGAGAGGGCGCUGUGCUGAGGCCUGCGUCGGCUUCUUGCCGGGCUGAGAAGGCUCGUCCUCUCGGCCCCUCUUCUGCCCCGUCGCCUUCUUUUUGCCGGCGGUCUGCUUGGAGGGGGACUGAGAUUGGGAGGCCUCCUUCUGGGGGGCCGAGCUGCCCCCAGGUGCCGCAAAGCCUCGGGGGCCUUCUUCGCCGUCUCCUGCUGCGUGGAAGGGUCGGCCACCUCGGUUGGCGCGCCCAGUAGCCUUGAGAGCUUCCUCACUGCAGCAAAACACUGUCAGGUCAGUAAAAAAGGUCAGUAACAGAUGGGAAGAUGAAGCAACAGAUAACAAAGGAACAUGUGCAGUAUUACAGGUAUCUUGGUCGGCGGGGGAGAACGCCACUUCUCCAGGGGACCCGGACAACGUCCCCAACAGCCCGGCCGCGGAAAUCUGCUCGGUGGAGAACUUGGCUGCGUACAGUUUCACCGCAGAGCCCAGCAGCUGGCCGAAGGCCUCAGGGUCCAGGUCCUCUGGACAGGGGUCAUCCCCGACCCCCCAACCUUCCACGCGUUGGGAGAAAAAUGGGUGGUCCUAACGAAAAAGAAGUCCCCCUUCUAGUUGUUUACGGAAGAGGGGACCCCGAAGAGAAGAUCCUGGGUGCCCUUACCGCCGCGAUUGCUGGCGGACCGGCGGGAGAAAUAGUACCACCCAGGGAGAGAAGCCUUGAGGGCAUAGGAAGCACGGAAGAGAGAGAGAGAGAGUAGGGGAUGGAGCAGAUCUGACAGUAGAUCAGGAAUCCGAUGAUGAUCCUGAUCGAGUUAAGGUGGACCUGGGUGAUCCUGAGCCCCCAGUAGCUCAGGAUCUCGGCCAGGGCUGGAGGAAUGGGGAGUCGGAGCCCCGCGACCAGUUGCUCUUUGUAAAUGGCUACAAAGCCCGGGGGAGGUCGGCAGGCUCGAACGGUGGGUCCGGCGGCUCGCGGCUCGAAGGCCGGAGGGAUGGAGAAAGAGGCGGCCAGCUCGGCCACUGCCCCGGGUGAGAGGGUGACCUCCUCCCGGUCGGGGUGAUCGUAGUUAAACUCAGGGUCAUCCCCCUGCUCGGAAGCAGGGGUCCCCUCGGAGGAGUCCCUGUCCUCCCCAACUCCCCCCUGGGCUCCGCCAGGGGAGUUAUGUGGAGACUUGGGGGAGGGGAUGGAAGUGGCUUGCUGCUCGAUGAGGGCAUCGAGCUCGGCCACCUCCUCUAGGAGUCGGGCAGAAGGAGAAUGGGCGGAUGGAGAGCUCAUGAUGUCAAUAGGCUCUAACAAGUCAGGAAUGGAGAAAUUGGGAUUGGAAGAAGAAGAAGAAGGAGGAGGAGGAGAAGAUGAAGAUGAAGACGAUGAAGAUGAGGACGAGGAGGAGAUGAAGAUUCUGGGGGCUCUACGACAGACCGGAAUCUGGGAUGCGGUGGAAGUGACACCGGAAUGGUCCGACAUAAAAUGCAGAAGGUGGCCAAAGGAGAAAAGGAAACAUGAAAGAGGAGGGGAGAGAACUUACUGAUGAUCGAAGUGAAAAAAGGAUGGAGAAGUCGCCGAAAUCUGGGUGCUGGAAGCCGGAAGCCUUGUUGUUGGAAAAUUGAAAAUGCACGAAGGAAGGAAAAAUGGCAAAUAGAGUCUGAGAGAGUUUGGGAGUCCCUAUUUAUGGAAGACGAAAGGGGGGGAAAACGGUUGCUUGAAUUUGAACCGUCCCAUAUGAACGCAUUCAAGAGCGGUACGGAGAUCGAGGGGACGCGACAACUAAAAGGACGUGGACGCCACUUCCCAAUGUCAGCACUGCACCGGAGGUGACCGCAGCAGAGCAGUGCGAUGAUGGGCUUCCACGUGGCAAGGAAAUAGAUCAGGUCUGCCUGGGAGCCUGACCUAAUCUAGGGGGCUAGUGCAGAGGCCCCGUCCAGCGCCUGUACACGUGGCAGCCCAGGGCGAUCCGAGCUGGGCUUGGACCCCGGGCCCAUGGGGAACCAGCCCAGGUCACGCGGCGGCUAGGGCUCCGUGGGGCUCCCGAGAGCUACCCCGCAGAGGGCGGGAAGAAUCCCCCUCAGCGCGGGAUUGGGAGCUAUUCAGGGCAAGUCUCGAAGCGUACGGAGGUCGGACUCCUAAGAAGGUAUAAGUAGUAACGCACAAUGACUGCGCAAGGUACGCUCACUAUUGGCAACUCCCUCCCGACUGCUUUACUGUUAGUACACUCCCCACUCACAGGAAAACUAACUUGACCGUCGGAGCGCCCUCGGGGACUACCUCGGGGCCCCUGUUAGUUCACUCUCUCGUUUUUCUUUCAGGCUUAGGACGCGCUCUUUC
rnacentral:lncRNA from 1 species